ensembl:lncRNA
GCAUUUAUACAAAAGUUUUAUAUAAAUCAUUUCUCAAUUUGGGUUUUUGUACAUUUUAUUUGAAAACUACAGAAAAGUGAUAAUAGUAUAUUUAAAAAACUGAAUUAAAUACAGUUGCUCGGUGUAAACAGUGUGCAUGUAAAGUACAGUGAGGCAUUAUUAUCUUCUGUCUAUAUGAUUAAAAAGUCUACAUGUCAGUGAAAUAAACAGACAUUAGAAAAUACAGCAGGAGAAACGAGGUCAAAGAUCCUCAACCGAAACAAAAGAAUAACCUCCACGUUGUAAUUAUAGAGAAAAAUCCUGGUAAAGCACAAUUAAAACAGUCUGGCUUACACUCAAACAUUCCUAACCCGAGAGGAAUUUUCAAAUGAAGCAAAGCAGGAAAACAUGUUUUGGUUUCAGUUGGCAGACAGACAGAAUCUCAUUCUCUGCAGAAAAACUCCUUUACUUUCUUUGUCUUGUUACUUUAUUCUACCUGCACUUCAUUUUUCAGCACCAAACACACUGAAUAUUGUGUGUAGCAGAGCUGAAAAUUAACAGCCAAGUCCACACUUUGUUGAUCCACUGACAGCUUUUUAAAGGAAUGCCUUCUUAGAACUCAUUAAUGGAGUUUUGUCUUUGGUGUUUUGUCAUCCUGACUAAUCACUUCUGAGCAGAGCGACAAAUUAUCCCGCAAUCCGUUCACACGCACAACCGCACACAGUCGCUCAUUUGUCCGACACUCAUCAUUUUCUACCGCUCAGCUUCCAAAAGUACACAUCAGCGUGUUAAUGUAGUGUAGUUACAUGAACAGCCGUGUAAAACAGCAACACAAAAACAAAAAGUGUCGAUGUUUGUGGUUUUCAGCAGGCAUGUUAGCAGUGAUUCAGUCAGCAGAGUAGAGAAGAAAUAGACAAAAGAGCAGAGAAAAGCACCGAACACUGGCUAACACACAGAGUAGCCUGUAGAUUAGUGACAUGUAGCUUUGAUUCUGAGACAUCUACACAGUUACAGAGGUUUAUCAGAUAUAAAUGCAUGAAUAAUAAUCAUUCUGCAAGCCGAAAUUCAGACUGCAUGAGGGAUGUUUCAGAAGCUCAGCUUAAAAUCUGCUUCCACCACUCAUAGCGUCGAUACAGAAUGUUUGAAAACUGGACAGAAUUGUGCCAAUUUAGACUGUUCAAAAGUUCAGGGUCACUUAGAAAAGUCCUUAAAUUUGAAAGAAAAGCAGUUUUUUUUCAAUGAAGAUAACAUUAAAUGAAUCCAGUGUAGACAUUGUUAAUGUGGUAAAUGACUAUUCUAGCUGGAAACGGCUGAUUUUUAAUGGAAUAUCUCCAUAGGGGUACAGAGGAACAUUUCCAGCAACCAUCACUCCUGUGUUCUAAUGCUACAUUGUGUUAGCUAAUGGUGUUGAAAGGCUCAUUGAUGAUUAGAAAACCCUUGUGCAGUUAUGUUAGCACAUGGAUAAAAGUGGGAGUUUUCAUGGAAAACGUGGAAUUGUCUGGGUGACCCCAAACUUUUGAAUGGCAGUAAUCUGUUUUCAUCAGAGCUAAAGGAAGGCAGUGAUGUACAGGUGCUUUUCAGGUAAGAAAAUUAAAGACAGGAUCAGUUUGAAAGAGGAGAAGAAGAAAUGCUUCCUAAACAAACCCAGAGUCUCACAAGGGCCUAAAAGCAAUAAUAUGAAAAAUCAGCAACUACAUAACUACACCUGUGGAAUAAAACCACAUCCUUCUCGUAAAGUGCAUAUAUAUAUUGAAUUAAGUCAUCAUUAAAAAAAAAGCACAAAAUUAAAUCAGUUAAAACAUUCUGGCUUACUUAUAAAAAUCAAUUGCCAUGGAAACAUCUAAAGUCCGUCUACUUAUAGUUUUCAACAGCCGUAUAAACUUACUCCUGUUAAGUAUUAAAACAUGGAAGAAGGGAAGUUGCUGCUCCAUCACAGUGAAGACUAUUUUACUAAAAUGCAGCCAGUGUUAGAGGAAAUUAUCAGUUUCUGUGGAAACAAGAAAUGUGAUCAAAGCAGCAAAUUCUGAAUGAAGUAUGGACAGAUCCUGACGUUUGUUUCUGCAAAUUCAAACUGCAAACAACACAGUCAUUUAAUCUAUAAAAGUCUGUUUCAGAGAAGAAUUCAGUCAGUGAGCGGACAGUCAAUGGAAACAUCUGUACAAAUGACUAAAUACAGGAAAAACUAAAGAUUUUUUCCUAAUUUCAUGCUGUGUGUUGCUAGUAGCACAAACAAUAUACUGACAUCUGCUUAAAGGCUCUCGUGGUCUAAAAACUGAAUAUCCAAAAUCCAGCUUUAUGAAGUGGCAGUGACAUCCAGAUGCAUGUAAACCUGUAAACCACUCACUACUGCCUGGUUAAGUGAACUGCCUGAGAGCUCUGGAGGGAUGUACAGAUGCUGACAUGUUACAUUCAUGCCAUCUGCUCAUAUUAAACCUGUGCAUGAGGAUAUAAUUUAGUGUUAUAUCUUAUUAUCAUUGGAUGAUGUAUAAAAACAGUGAAUUUGUGUCACUGCUAAACAGUCUGUCUCUUACAGUAGUUGUUAAACUUUUAGGAGUUGAGAGUUGAGAGCAGUUCAGAGUCUGAAAGCAACAAACUGACCCGAUGUUCGAAUCGCAUCGGUUCGUCAGGUCAGUGUUUGAGUCUCUGGGAUGCUGCAGCAAACAGGAAGCCACUCAGUAGAAGUCACAAGUCAGCCAUCAAGGUAGAGAAGGAGAUCUGCUUCUCUUUUUGCAAGAUUCACACUUAAAUGGUGCUGUUAAACACUGGAGAGGAACGCAGAUGGAAGCUCAAUGGUA